AUGGUGCAGCCGGACGACGGCGACGAGGCACCAGAGCAAUCAACAUAUAUGGCAGCACAUCCAUCGGGACCUCCUCUGCCCACAUCUCCACUCAUGCAGUUGCCAUGGAACACAGUUCCACCAUGGACGAGCAGCGCAACAAGAAACGAUCAGGAGUUUCAAGAUGGAAAUAUGGCAGCCCAUCCAUCGGAACCUCCUCUACCCACACCUCCUCCACUGAUGCAAUCGCAGAACACAAUUCCACCGAGGAUGAGCAGCACAGCAAGGAACGAUCAGGAUUUGCAAGAUGAAAAUAUUGUUCCAAGAGUUGGGAAGACCUUUCAGUGUGAGGAAGAGGCAUAUCAGUUUUACAAUUCUUAUGCUCAAACCAAAGGAUUCAGCAUUAGGAAGUGCCACCUUAAGCAUAGAGGAGAUGGGACUUUAAGUUCUAGAUAUUUUGUUUGUGGCAAGGCAGGUGUGAAGGGCACUCAUCCGACACAUGUAGCCAAGAAAGAACAAGCUAAUUCGAGAACUGAUUGCAUGGCUCGUGUUUAA
rnacentral:rRNA from 1 species